AGGCCUACUGGUGUAUGACUUUGAAGAAGUUGAACAUGCCAGCAGCCAGCCAUGCGGCUCGGCAAAACAAGUAGUCCAGCAGCGAAUGGGCCCAACAGGCCCAAUCUGCCGAUACAUACGAGGGGAACCCGAAUGGGCCUUAACUGGCAUACAUACGACAAGACUCCCAUUCUAACAAAAACAAAACAAAAAACGACAAGACUCCCAGAAGGUGGUUGCAGACUAUUGCUGCUAGGUGUUGGAAAAAAAAAGUGCACGCAUAUAUAUGCUCCGUACAUUAAUUUGCUUCGGCCGG
rnacentral:lncRNA from 1 species